AUUGAACGCUGGCGGCAUGCCUUACACAUGCAAGUCGAACGGCAGCACGGGAGCUUGCUCCUGGUGGCGAGUGGCGAACGGGUGAGUAAUGCAUCGGAACGUGCCCUGAAGUGGGGGAUAACGUAGCGAAAGUUACGCUAAUACCGCAUAUUCUGUGAGCAGGAAAGCAGGGGAUCUUCGGACCUUGUGCUUUAGGAGCGGCCGAUGUCGGAUUAGCUAGUUGGUGAGGUAAAGGCUCACCAAGGCGACGAUCCGUAGCGGGUCUGAGAGGAUGAUCCGCCACGCUGGGACUGAGACACGGCCCAGACUCCUACGGGAGGCAGCAGUGGGGAAUUUUGGACAAUGGGCGCAAGCCUGAUCCAGCCAUGCCGCGUGAGUGAAGAAGGCCUC
rnacentral:rRNA from 1 species